rnacentral:rRNA from 1 species
AGGGUGAACGGUGGAUGCCUUGGCGCCGAGCGGCGACGAAGGACGUAGCAAGCUACGAAAAGCCUCGGGGAGCCGCAAGCAGGCUGUGAUCCGGGGAUGUCCGAAUGGGGAAACCCAGCUGGCACUCUAAAGCCAGUUACCGGCGUCUGAACACAUAGGGCGUCGGAGGGAACGCGGGGAAGUGAAACAUCUCAGUACCCGCAGGAAGAGAAAACAACCGUGAUUCCGGGAGUAGUGGCGAGCGAAACCGGAUGAGGCUAAACCAGUCAUGUGUGAUACCCGGCAGGGGGUGCGUGGUUGGGGUUGUGGGAGUUUUCUUGAUCGGUCUGCCGGCCGGUCGGCGAGUCAGAAACCGUAUGGGUAGGCGAAGGGCAUGCGAAAGGCCCGGCGUAGAGGGUAAGACCCCCGUAGCUGAAAUUGUGGCGGCUCUCUUGAGGAUUUCCCAAGUAGCACGGGGCCCGAGAAAUCCUGUGUGAAUCUGGCGGGACCACCCGCUAAGCCUAAAUAUUCCCUGGUGACCGAUAGCGGACAAGUACCGUGAGGGAAAGGUGAAAAGUACUCCGAACAGGAGGGUGAAAUAGAACCUGAAACCGUGCGCUUACAAGCGGUCGGAGUCCCGAUUUAUCGGGAUGACGGCGUGCCUUUUGCAUAAUGAGCCUACGAGUUACUCCUCUCUGGCAAGGUUAAGCAUGAAAACGUGUGAAGCCGAAGCGAAAGCGAGUCUGAACAGGGCGCAUAAGUCAGGGGGGGUAGACGCGAAACUUGGUGAUCUACCCAUGGUCAGGUUGAAGCUUUGGUAACACAAAGUGGAGGACCGAACCAGUUGACGUUGAAAAGUCUUUGGAUGAACUGUGGGUAGGGGUGAAAGGCCAAUCAAACUGAGAGAUAGCUCGUACUCCCCGAAAUGCUUUUAGGAGCAGCGUUGGAAUAGUAUCAUAGAGGUAGAGCUACUGAUUGGGCUAGGGGGCUUCACCGCCUACCAAACCCUGACAAACUCCGAAUGCUAUGAUAUGUUUUCCAGCAGUGAGGGCGCGGGUGCUAAGGUCCGUGUCCGAGAGGGAAAGAACCCAGACCAUCAGCUAAGGUCCCGAAAUAUAUGCUAAGUUGAACUAACGAAGUCAGACUGCAAAGACAGCUAGGAUGUUGGCUUGGAAGCAGCCAUUCAUUUAAAGAGUGCGUAACAGCUCACUAGUCGAGCGGUUUGGCAUGGAUGAUAAUCGGGCAUAAGCAUAUUACCGAAGCUAUGGAAUUAGAUUUAUCUAAUUGGUAGGGGAGCAUUCCAGUUACGUUGAAGGUGAGUCGUAAGGCUUGCUGGAGUGUCUGGAAAAGCAAAUGUAGGCAUAAGUAACGAUAAUGCGGGUGAGAAACCCGCACGCCGGAAGACUAAGGUUUCCUGAUCAACGCUAAUCGGAUCAGGGUUAGUCGGGGCCUAAGGCGAACCCGAAAGGGGUAGUCGAUGGACAAUCGGUCAACAUUCCGAUACCGGCUUAUACUGCGAUGGGGUGACGGAGUAGUGAAGGGUCCGCGUACUGACGGAAUAGUACGUUGAACACUAUAGGUAUACGGCCGGCAGGCAAAUCCGCUGGUUGUGCUGAAGGUGGACAGUACCACGAGUCUUCGGAUGAGUGGACAGUGAUCUGGAAUGUGCUUCCAAGAAAAACCUCUAAGCGUCAGGUAUAAGCUGCCCGUACCGCAAACCGACACAGGUAGUCGAGGAGAGUAUCCAAAGGCGCUCGAGUGAUUCAUGGCUAAGGAACUAGGCAAAUUAGCCCCGUAACUUCGGGAGAAGGGGCGCCUCGUGCAAACGAGGCCGCAGAGAAAUGGCCCAGGCGACUGUUUAUCAAAAACACAUGGCUUUGCAAAAUUGAAAGAUGAAGUAUAAGGCCUGACACCUGCCCGGUGCCGGAAGGUUAAGAGGAGGAGUUAUCUUAAUUUAUUAGGAGAAGCCCUGAAUUGAAGCCCCGGUAAACGGCGGCCGUAACUAUAACGGUCCUAAGGUAGCGAAAUUCCUUGUCGGGUAAGUUCCGACCUGCACGAAUGGUGCAACGAUCUGGGCACUGUCUCGGCCAUGAGCUCGGUGAAAUUGUAGUAACGGUGAAGAUGCCGUUUACCCGCAACGGGACGGAAAGACCCCGUGCACCUUCACUACAGCUUAACAUUGACACUGAAUAAGUGAUGUGUAGGAUAGGUG